rnacentral:rRNA from 1 species
UGCACCACUCCUACGGGAGGCAGCAGUCGAGAAUCUUCGGCAAUGGGCGAAAGCCUGACCGAGCGACGCCGCGUGCGGGAUGAAGGUCUUCGGAUUGUAAACCGCUGUCAGAGGGGAUGAAGUUAUGGUGGGUUCUCCCUCCAUAUUGACAGAGCCUCAGAGGAAGCACGGGCUAAGUAUGUGCCAGCAGCCGCGGUAAUACAUACUGUGCGAACGUUAUUCGGAUUCACUGGGCUUAAAGGGUGCGUAGGCGGCUUGUUAAGUAGGGUGUGAAAGCCCCCAGCUCAACUGGGGAACUGCACUCUAUGCUGGCGAGCUGGAGUGAGAUAGGGGUGUGUGGAACUGCCAGUGGAGCGGUGAAAUGUGUUGAUAUUGGCAGGAACGCCGGUGGCGAAAGCGACACACUGGGUCUCAACUGACGCUGAGGCACGAAAGCCAA